ensembl:misc_RNA Y_RNA Y RNA
GGCUGGUCCAAGUGCAGUGGUUUUUACAGCUAAUUGAUCACAAACAUUUAAGAUUUCUUUGUUGAUUCUCCACUUCUGAUGCUUCACUUGACUAUACUUAA